ensembl:misc_RNA Gm23884 predicted gene, 23884
GGGUGUGAGAGCGAUCUGUCUGCGACACCCCAUUGAACACCAGGGUUGAUCCCUCUGAUCUGGCUGGUUAGGCGGGUGUCCCCUUCCUCCCUCACCCUUCAUGUGUGUCCCUUCCAAAGCUGUGUGCUUGACCUUCCCAGAAUAGAGUAGGACCAGUCUUUGGGCAAGGGUAUACAUGUAGCUGUGCUUCCCAGCUAGAACCUCCAAACAAGCUCUUAAUUUAGCAUUUUGAAAAAUAAAAAAGGAAACCAGCUGGUAGUACAUUUUUUUUCCUAUUACUUAGAAU